UCCACUGGACGCUAACCGAGCGCCUGCCACGUCCCAGGCUCUCUUCAUAUACUGUCACUUUUCCUUCCCACAAGGACUUACAGAGGUAGUCAUUUAUGUCCAUUUUACAGAUGAGAAAACUGAGGACUAGAAAGGUAAGGUAACUUGCUCAACGUCACACAGCUAGUCAGUGAUGGUGCUGGGGUCUCAACUCCUAGCUCUUCCUAACUCCACAGGGGAUGGACUUUCCACUGUGUCCUGAUAUUUGCGAAGUCUUGAAAGACGUGUAGGAAUUUACCUGAGUGGAACAAGGGGAUAAGGAGCAUCCAGGCAAAAGUAACAGUAUUUGUUAUUCAAGAGCUGAGGUAUAACGAAAAUUAUAAAGCAAAGCACGUUUGAGCAACUGUAAAGAUGAAAUCAUAAGCGUGUAAUUAUAACCACGUGACUGACUUGAAUAGGGUCGUGUGCAAAUCCCUUUGCUUGGUCGAUUGAUGAUAAUUUCUAACAGGCCCAAGUUCUUGCCGACUGAAUCUUGAGGUUAACUUUCCGGACAUUCCCCGGGAAGCAGGGUGAGAUCCGCGCGCACGCCCGCCUCUGGCCCUGUCCCGGGGGUUCCGCGGGCUCCUGGGAUUCUCCGGUAUAGAAGCGUUAGCGCUGGAUCCGGCUUGAGGUCAGUAAACACAAAGACAAAACAACCUAAUACACCUGUCCCCACUCCCUCACACGAGUUCUACCUGCUCCUCAAGUUUUUGCCCAAAUUAUACCUCUCGAUGCAUUUCCACUUAUGUUUUUCUCUUAACGUUUCCACAAAGCUUGUUAUGUAUUCAACUUAUUCCAGCUGGCCUCAAGUGAUUUUCAAAAAACUGUUUCCAAUGCAACUACCAUCAGAACGUGGAUU
rnacentral:lncRNA from 1 species